UUGGAGGGUGCACCUGCUUAUUCACUUUGUGUGGAGAGAGAUGUGGCCUAAGGUAAAUAUAGACUCAUGGACAUUGGUGAAUAGCUUAGCUCGUUCUUCAGUAGCUUGGAAGGAGCAACAUUAGAAGAUUGUGGAAAAGUGGUGGCAUGGGGAAAAGUUGUAGAGCUAAACCUGUGUGAGUGGGCACAAAGUAUGAGACAUUAAUGACAGCCAGAAACCACUUCUUGUGGAAGAGGCAAUAAUAACCAAGUGGAUAGGAUGGGCAGGCAGCUGAAUGUCGGCCACCAUGCACUCAGAAAUAGAUAGUCAUGGAGUCAGAGAAGGAAGCCAUGCCUGUGCCCAGAAGCAUACAUUCCCUCUCAUCAAGGCUGACCUAGUUUUGCUGCUGUUGAAUGUAAGAACUGCCAGCAAUAGCGACUGGUGCUGAAUUCCUGGUAUAACACUGCUCCUGGAGGAGACCAACCAGCCACUACUGGGUGACAAGUUGGCUAAAUCGGGCCCCUUCCAACCUGGAAAGGGCGGCAUUUUCUCUUGACUUGGAUUGACAUGUAUUCCAGCCAUCAAUGGACUUGCCUUUCCUACCCUCAGUGCAGCAGCCUGUCCUGCUAACCAAGGAAUCACAGAUAGGGUGGUGGAGCAUCCUCUUGGAGGCACAGUGGAGCUGUCAUCUUGAAGAUGACACCCAUGAGGAGGGCCCAGUCUCCUCCAGAAUGCAAUAUGCACUCUAAUGGCUAUGGGAUGAGGCCAUGUUCCUGAAAGGCUGGCAGCAGACAAACGAUGCAGGCAGGCAGUGAGACUCAGAUUGGGUCCUCCUGUCGGAACAGCUGGGAUAUGAUGUCCAUGCCCUCUCCCAGGACCCAGGUGGAACUUGAAUACUGAUUCAUCAUACUCACUUUUCAUUUGGAGAGUGAAUUUUGGACUGAAAUAAAGGGAGAUGUUCAGCCUCAGGUGUAGAAGCAGUGAGACAAUUUCCCACCACGGAGGAAGAUGAAGAGCAGGAGAGGAGAGGCUGGCGGCUCCCAGGAGCAGAUCACCUGCCCCCACUGCAAGGCCCCCGUGUGCUCAAUAAACUGACCCUUGCGCAGAGA